CACACGACUCUCGGCAACGGAUAUCUCGGCUCUCGCAUCGAUGAAGAACGUAGCGAAAUGCGAUACCUGGUGUGAAUUGCANAAUCCCGCGAACCAUCGAGUCUUUGAACGCAAGUUGCGCCCGAGGCCACUUGGCCGAGGGCACGCCUGCCUGGGAGUCACGC
rnacentral:rRNA from 1 species